rnacentral:rRNA from 1 species
CAGCAGCCGCGGGAAUACGGAGGGUGCAAGCGUUAUCCGGAUUUAUUGGGUUUAAAGGGUCCGUAGGCGGACUUAUAAGUCAGUGGUGAAAGCCUGUCGCUUAACGAUAGAACUGCCAUUGAUACUGUAAGUCUUGAGUAUAUUUGAGGUAGCUGGAAUAAGUAGUGUAGCGGUGAAAUGCAUAGAUAUUACUUAGAACACCAAUUGCGAAGGCAGGUUACCAAGAUAUAACUGACGCUGAGGGACAAAAGCGUGGGUAGCGAACAGGAUUAGAUACCCGUGUAGUCCCUGUCUCUUAUAC